UGGGGAAUAUUGCACAAUGGGCGCAAGCUUGAUGCAGCAACGCCGGGUGAACGAUGAAGGUCUUCGGAUCGUAAAGUUCUGUUGCAGGGGAAGAUAAUGACGGUACCCUGUGAGGAAGCCCCGGCUAACUACGUGCCAGCAGCCGCGGUAAUACGUAGGGGGCUAGCGUUAUCCGGAUUUACUGGGCGUAAAGGGUGCGUAGGUGGUCUUUCAAGUCGGUGGUUAAAGGCUACGGCUCAACCGUAGUUAGCCUCCGAAACUGGAAGACUUGAGUGCAGGAGAGGAAAGUGGAAUUCCCAGUGUAGCGGUGAAAUGCGUAGAUAUUGGGAGGAACACCAGUAGCGAAGGCGGCUUUCUGGACUGCAACUGACACUGAGGCACGAAAGCGUGGGUAGCAAACAGG
rnacentral:rRNA from 1 species